AAUUGAACUCGCUGUGAAGAUGCAGUGUACCCGCGGCAAGACGGAAAGACCCCGUGAACCUUUACUAUAGCUUGACACUGAACAUUGAGCCUUGAUGUGUAGGAUAGGUGGGAGGCUUUGAAGUGUGGACGCCAGUCUGCAUGGAGCCGACCUUGAAAUACCACCCUUUAAUGUUUGAUGUUCUAACGUUGGCCCCUGAUCGGGGUUGCGGACAGUGUCUGGUGGGUAGUUUGACUGGGGCGGUCUCCUCCUAAAGAGUAACGGAGGAGCACGAAGGUUGGCUAAUCCUGGUCGGACAUCAGGAGGUUAGUGCAAUGGCAUAAGCCAGCUUGACUGCGAGCGUGACGGCGCGAGCAGGUGCGAAAGCAGGUCAUAGUGAUCCGGUGGUUCUGAAUGGAAGGGCCAUCGCUCAACGGAUAAAAGGUACUCCGGGGAUAACAGGCUGAUACCGCCCAAGAGUUCAUAUCGACGGCGGUGUUUGGCACCUCGAUGUCGGCUCAUCACAUCCUGGGGCUGAAGUAGGUCCCAAGGGUAUGGCUGUUCGCCAUUUAAAGUGGUACGCGAGCUGGGUUUAGAACGUCGUGAGACAGUUCGGUCCCUAUCUGCCGUGGGCGCUGGAGAACUGAGGGGGGCUGCUCCUAGUACGAGAGGACCGGAGUGGACGCAUCACUGGUGUUCGGGUUGUCAUGCCAAUGGCACUGCCCGGUAGCUAAAUGCGGAAGAGAUAAGUGCUGAAAGCAUCUAAGCACGAAACUUGCCCCGAGAUGAGUUCUCCCUGACUCCCUGAGAGUCCUGAAGGAACGUUGAAGACGACGACGUUGAUAGGCCGGGUGUGUAAGCGCAGCGAUGCGUUGAGCUAACCGGUACUAAUGAACCGUGAGG
rnacentral:rRNA from 1 species